rnacentral:rRNA from 1 species
GUGGGGAAUAUUGGACAAUGGGCGCAAGCCUGAUCCAGCCAUGCCGCGUGAGUGAUGAAGGCCUUAGGGUUGUAAAGCUCUUUUGUCCGGGAAGAUAAUGACUGUACCGGAAGAAUAAGCCCCGGCUAACUUCGUGCCAGCAGCCGCGGUAAUACGAAGGGGGCUAGCGUUGCUCGGAAUCACUGGGCGUAAAGGGCGCGUAGGCGGACUCUUAAGUCGGGGGUGAAAGCCCAGGGCUCAACCCUGGAAUUGCCUUCGAUACUGAGAGUCUUGAGUUCGGAAGAGGUUGGUGGAACUGCGAGUGUAGAGGUGAAAUUCGUAGAUAUUCGCAAGAACACCAGUGGCGAAGGCGGCCAACUGGUCCGAUACUGACGCUGAGGCGCGAAAGCGUGGGGAGCAAACAGGAUUAGAAACCCGAGUAGUCC